rfam:Candidatus Halobonum tyrrellensis G22 contig00052, whole genome shotgun sequence.
ACGGGAACGGCACGGCCGCAAAUCUGACUCGCCUCGCACCCGCGAGGCUUCGGGAUUGCGGAGGUGC